AUUGAACGCUAGCGGGAUGCCUUACACAUGCAAGUCGAACGAGGGGCGGACGGGUGAGUAAGAUAUCGGAACGUGCCCAGGAGCGGGGGAUAUCUACGGGAAAGAGUGGCUAAUACCGCAUACAAUUGGAGCGGACGAUAUGGGAUUAGCUAUGUGGUGGGGUAAAGGCUCACCAAGGCAACGAUCCGUAGCUGGUUUGAGAGGAGGACCAGCCACACUGGAACUGAGACACGGUCCAGACUCCUACGGGAGGCAGCAGUGGGGAAUUUUGCACAAUGGGGGAAACCCUGAUCCAGCCAUGCCGCGUGUAUGAGAAGGCCUUCGGGUUGUAAAGUACUUUUGGCAGGGAGGCGUUACUUGCAGAAUAAGCACCGGCUAACUACGUGCCAGCAGCCGCGGUAAUAC
rnacentral:rRNA from 1 species